UCCCUCCACUCCCCCUCCUACGCGCUCUGCCGGUACCACCCGGAGACGCCCCCCUCGCCUCACGUAGACGGCUAGAGGGGGGCCUGCCCCACCCCCGCGAAGCGAGGGGGGUGGUCGCCUCUGUUCCCCCUUGCCUGGGGGCCGAGUGGAAGGGAAGCGCGAGAUGGUCUUACUGGAACCGGCCCCCCCGCGAGCGAAGAUGCUGGAAGCAUCAGAAGAUCAUAACCACUGGGAAGCGUGUUGACUGCUGUUUCCUGAAAAUCUUGAGACUAACAUCAGUCUGGCAUGGCGCAGGGCAGCCAGCAACUUGAUAUGCAGGUACUCCAUGAUCUCCGACAACGUUUCCCUGAGAUUCCAGAAGGUGUGGUGUCUCAAUGCAUGCUCCAGAACAACAACAACCUGGAUGCUUGUUGUCGGGUUCUUGCCCAAGAAAGUAACAAAUACCUGUAUAUGGAGUACCAUAGCCCAGAUGACACCCGAAUGAACAGGAAUCGCCUUCUGCAUAUUAACCUGGGUAUCCAUCCUCAUGCCAGCUAUCAUGGAGGAGACGGAGCUCAACUUAAUGGUAGUCGUACACUGGUACAUAGUUCAAGUGAUGGACAUAUUGAUCCACAACGCACAGCAGGUAAACAGCUGAUAUGCUUAGUUCAAGAACCACAUUCUGCUCCGGCUGUUGUGACAGCUUCUCCCAACUACAAUCCAUUUUUUAUGAAUGACCAGAAUAGAAAUGCAGCUACUCCUCCUCCUCAGCCACCUCAGCAACCUUCUUCGAUACAACCUGGAAUGAAUACAUCUGCUAUGCAAGGCCCUCCUCCUCCUCCUACAUAUAUGCACAUACCUCGGUACAGCACAAAUCCUAUAACUGUUACAGUGUCGCAAAACCUACCUUCUGGACAGACUGUACCCAGAGCAUUACAAAUUCUUCCUCCGAUUCCAAGCAGCCCUUAUGGGACUCCUGGCUCUCUCUACAUUAGGCAGACAUCUCAAGGUUCUUCAGGACGACAGACUCCUACUCAAAAUACACAGUGGCAUUCAUCGCCACAAGGUCCAGUUCCACAUUACAGUCCACAUCCAUUACCUGUCUAUCCACACCAACAAAACUAUCAACCUUCUCAGUAUUCUCCAAAACAGCCCCAGAUUCCUCAGUCACCUUUUCGAUCACCACCUGCUUCUCAGUGCCCUUCUCCUUUUGGCUCACCUCAACAUCAAGUUCAGCCUACUCAGUUAGGACAUCAAAGUUCUCAUGUGUUUAUGCCGCCUAGUCCUUCAACUGUACUACCCCAUCCAUAUCAACAAACACCCCAGACGUAUCAAAAACCAAGUGGGCACUCAGUAUCUUAUCUCCCUUAUGGUGGACCUACCUUAUCUAAAGGCUCCAUGAACAAGAUAGAAAUUACAGUUGAGCCACCACAAAGAACAGGGACAGCACUUAAUAGGAGCCCUUCGCCUAUAAGUAACCAACCAUCCCAACGGAACCAGCACCCACUGUAUGCACCUGCUACUCCACCUUCAAGUUCUCCUUCCAGAAGUAUGUCAGGUCAGCCCAAACCUCCUUAUAGUGUUAAUCCUGUAUAUAUAACGUACACACAGCCAGCUGGACCUACAGGCGUACUUACACAGUCCCCCCGGGUAAUGGUAUCUCAGCCAAAUCCAGCAGUUUUUAAAAUUACAGUAGGCCGAGCACCAGCUGAGAACCUUUUAAAUUUAGUGGACCAAGAAGAGCAUUCUGCAGCACCAGAACCUAUUCAGCCCAUUUCAGUUGUACCAGGAGCUGGAGGUGAAAGGGGAAGCCAUAAGUACCAGAGGAGUUCCAGUUCUGGAUCAGAUGACUAUGCUUAUACACAAGCCUUGUUAUUACACCAACGUGCAAGGAUGGAGAGGCUAGCAAAAGAACUGAAGUUUGAAAAUGAGGAGCUUGAGAAGCUUAAAGGUGAAGUGAAUGGCAUGGAACAUGAUCUUAUGCAAAGGCGUCUGAGAAGAGUGAGCUGUACAACAUCUAUCCCAACACCUGAGGAGAUGACCAGAUUGAGAAGUGUGAACAGGCAGCUCCAGAUAAACGUUGACUGUACACAGAAAGAAAUUGACCUCCUUCAGUCUAGAGGGAACUUUGACCCGAAAGCCAUGAGCAACUUUUAUGAUAACAUAGAACCUGGUCCUGUUGUGCCACCAAAGCCAUGUAAAAAAGAAUUUAAAAGGAAAUCAUUCUCUGUAGACCAUCAGAACAGUUCCAAGCAAGUUCCGCGAUCACAGCCAAGAGAUGAAGACUUUGAAGGAGCUCCGUGGAAUUGUGACAGCUGUACUUUUUUGAACCAUCCAGCACUGAAUCGCUGUGAGCAGUGUGAAAUGCCGCGAGCGGACAUAUGCCAAAUGCAGAACUAUUCCAAAUUCUCUUUGGAAGACUUGAGCUCAGCCAUCGUUAUGUAUGAGAAGUGUUUGCACCCUGUUCCUUAGGCCUUUCAGCUUCCAAUUAUGUGAAGAAUUCAUGAUGUUUACAGCACAGAAGGUUGGUAUGUACAGAAGAUAAAUGCUUGGUCAAAGUGGAGGUUAUCUGCUGUGAUUCAUAAGUGUUACCUCAUACCAUAAAAAUGGUACCGAAGCUGGUUUCAAAUAGCAAGGAGCACAAUGAAAUUAAAGGAAUCAGUGUUGAGAUAUUUUAAAUUCCUGAUCUUUACAUCAUUGCAAAUAUUAUGACCUUGAAUCUCUGAAGAAAAUGCUAAGAAUUCUGCUGCCCCUAGAGAAGGGUUCAUUAUAAAAUUCUGUUCUGUAAAAUAGAACAAAGAUGAAAUACUGCAGGCAGAGUAUUGUUCAUAGUUACCAGUUAAAUAACAUUUUAUGUCUUGGGCUGAUCAGUAACAUUGUCAUGAUUUCAUAUGGCUGUUUUUGCCUUUUUUGAACACAAGCUCUUUGGCACUUAUUUGUGCUGCUGUUGGCAAGGAACGUACUGUAGUUAAGAGUAGAAGUAGUAUGUUUGAAAGAUAUGUGCCACUUUUUCACCUCAGUAUGACUACAAGGGUUUUUGACUGGAGGAGGCAUUAUUUACAAUUGCAUGCAACCUGUCAAUUCUGGGCACAGUCCAUCUUUGCAGCAUAAAUAAGGCAGCAUAACCAAAAUUCCCAUAGGGCCUUUGUAUGCUUACACCUCCUGUUUCAGGAGGGAUUUCCUGUUUCAUUUUGUGAGUAGGGAAUGCUCUGCAUAUGUGGAAUGGCCACUUCAUGUACACAGUAUUCUCUGAUUCAUGGGAGAUAACAGGGAAGCCAUAAACAUACAUCACAGUACUGCACACUGUGGAGUUGUUGCUGUUUUGAAGAAUCAUUUCCUUUUACUAAUACCUUUUAUCUAUGGAAAAGAUGACAAGAUCACAGCUUAUGGUGGGGAAGACAAGCUGAUAGCUAGUGACCCCAUUCAAAGAAACUUAAAACUUGUAAGUUAUUGUUACUUGCUCAGUGUGCAAAAUACCAUUGUACGUGUUUACUUGUAUAUAUCCUUUUAUGCUGUAAUGCUGAUAAUAGCAAUGAAAUUAAUUUUAAUUUGUAAGAGUUGUAUAUGAGUAUUGAUUUGCAUUUGGAAGCUAAUUGGGGAUCUGAAGUGGGUUUAGGUUAUGCCAGAGUAAACCUAACAACAUAAAAUAAUUGGUUAAGGUGCUAACAACUUAUAUCCCUUCACAUAGAAAAUGCACUGCAAGUAUAUAACUUUGGAAUGUGCACAUCUGAGUGGUGGGUUUUUGAGGGCAUCAUGAAUUCGAAAAAUGCACUACUUUUUAAUAAUUGAGCUUUUUCUCUCACCCGUAGUACUUGGGCACUGUACUAUUUGGGCGCUGAAUAUUCAAAACUAUGACCAGGUUUUCCAAAAUACUUGUUUAUAAAAUUAUUUAACCACUAUGAAAAUGCUUCCCUUUCACAUAAAAAUACAAAAGCUCAGUGUUUAGUCAAUAGAAUAGUUAUGGAAAAAUUCAGAAGAUAGCAAGCCAAAAUUAAAUCUUGAACUUGGGUAUGUGAACUAUCAUACUGUCUUGUUUGAUACUUGGAACUAUCAAACUAUCUUGUAUACGUAGAAAGGGAGGAGUUAGUAAGGUAAGAGAACAUGUUUUGUGAACUAGAUCAAAUUGAAAAGUGUGUGCGUGUGUCUGUGGUAUGUAUGUAUUUUUCUUUAUGGCAGAUGUGUGAAGCAAGUGUAAUUUUUAAAGAGCUGGUCUCAGUCAUGCUACUAAGUCAUGUAUUCCUCAGUUACUAUAUAUUCCAGUUAUGUACCCUUCUUUCAUGCCUUUGAUUGUAAACUUCUGCAGCCUCACUGGAUUUUGACAGACUUUUAAAUUGGGACAAAAAUUUAAAAAUGCUUUAAAGAGAAUAUGAAAGAUGAAAUAUGCUGUUUAAUGGAUUGUGGUCAUGGACAACUCAAGAAGAAAAAUGUAGUGUAGCCUAAAAUGUGAAAUCAGUUUAUAGUUUGAUAUAGCUGGAUGGGCCCUUAGCUCUUCUACCUGUUCAGGUGCUAUGAGCCUACAGUGAAAGAUGAAAAUGGGCACAGAAUGAAUGCAUAUUAUAGCCAAUACAGGCUCUGUGUGCUAUAUUUGUUUUUCCAAAUAACUGUUCAAAUUUGCCAUGUGUGGGAGGUUUCGAAGGUGAUCCUUGUUUCUGUUAUAAGUGGGAGGGCUUCUUGUUUUCUAACUACUCAAAGGUCACUUGAGUUAAUGCAAUAUUCUAAAGUUCUCAGGACCUUUGAGCAGUUUUUAAAGAAUUGUGUUCUUUAAGUGAUAAAACAAUGUGUUUAAUCUAUUUUUGUGUUGUUCAAUUCUUGUAAAUUUUUUCAUUAUAAAAAAAAACGUGAUCUUUUAAAAUCCUGUAAAUAGGAUGUUUCUUAUGAUCUAGAAUGUGUAUGCUGAGUGGAAAUUAACUAUUGCAACAUGAAAUGUGUAAAUGCAUUAAGAGGCUGUGCAUGCAUGGUACCUCCAAAUGACACAUACUGAAAGCUGCAGUUGCCUAAAUAAACAAAUAGAAAACAAAAACAAAAUAAACCUUAAGAAAAUGUAGCAUUUAUUCUCAUGUAGAAAGGAAACUUCUAAAAUAACUUGUUUUGAUAGCCAUUCUCUCAUUUUAAAAGGGGUCUUUCCUCUUCACUUUCUGUUAUAUUGUGUGUGGGUCUAGUACAUACUCUUUUUGAUGACCAUUUUAUUAAAUCAUCUUGUUAAGGAAAACUGUUUGGACCUUGUCAGUUUCCAGUGUGACUCCUUCUUAGUCUGUCAGAGUCAGAAAUCACUCUUUGAGCUUAAAUCAAUUAUAGUCAUUUAAUAGUUGUCCCCCCCCCCCCCACACCCAACAUGUUUUUAAAUGCCGAAUUGGUAGCUGUAUCAUACUGCUUGCAUUGUCUCAACAGGAAUGAAUUUGAAUGGUGGUGCAAGAAAGAAAAAUGUAUCUUUUUAUAGCCAUUUUAAUCUUUUGUUUUAUACUCUUCAUGGUUCCCUAUUUCAGUCAAAAAGUGAAAAUUGACCCAGUACCAGUUGAUCCCAGUUGUUGCAGAGCUGAUUUUGGCUAUUUGUUUAGCAGGGCUGAGAGUAACAAAGCCAUUCUUUCCCUCCAGCACGUCUCCCUUUGGCUAACACUCCCCUACUCCACCCCACAAAACGACACUUCCCUCUCAAACAAGAAUUGAAACCGGGUAUUUAGCAUUUAUACUGGAUUUAUACUUGAAUAAUCAGAUUCCAGAUAUGAUUGCCUGUAUGCCUGUUUUUACAGGAUUGAGACAACUCAGAAAAUGUUAACUGAGCUGUGAUGCUUGUGAUUAUAUGUAAUGAAAAUAGCACCACCACAUCAGUUAUUACAAAAGCUGAUUAUCACUCAGGCUAGAGUCAGACUAGAGGUUGACUAGAGUAGCUCUGAGUGUGCCUGCUACACACAGCAGUAUAUGUUGUCUUAUAGAUAGUGGCCUGUAUUUCUGAAGUGUUUAAAUGUAUCUUAGCUUGUACUUUAUAUUACCUUGACAUCUUUUUUUUCCUUCACUUUUGAAAUGCAAGAAAAAUCAUUUGCCCCUCCAUAUGUAGUCUGAUAGUUCUCUACUAUUUUAUUGAGAACUUGCUGUACCUCAGUAGCACAGGUGCACGUGUUCUGAUCACAUGAAAGAAAAGCAUUUCUGCAAUUAUCACAAUCUCAGAACUGCUACAACUUGGCCUUUCAUUUGAAUCUAUUAUUCCUUAUUCCCUGUAUGUGAACAGUGAAGAGCUUUGAAUGGAGGGAAAAUUAUGGCAAAUCAGUUAACUUGGAAGUGUAUCCCUUAUAACUUAAUUCCAGAUGUUCUCUGUUUACAUUACAUUUAUAGUACAACUGCUUUAUUUUACAAUAUGAACACUAGAAAAAGCUUGAAAAAUAAACAUAGAAAAUACA